CUUCUGAGUCACACUCCCACUCUAGGAGCUGAGCAGUCAGUGGAAGGGAGGCAGCAGCCUCUCCUGGCAUGGAACUCUCACCUCAUAAGCGGUGAGAAGGGCUGUCAGGACCCCAGUAUUCUCAGCAUGCCACACCCGAAGUAGAGUCCACUUUCCACAAGUGGGGGCUAAGUGGAAGAAGGGAGCCCCACCUCAACCAGACUCACCCAGGACUUACUUCCACAACAGGCAGCUGGGAGCAGGAUGAGAUAUGCUGAAGUACUCCGUCCUCCCAGUAAGAAAGCCCUCUGACCGGGAGAUGGAAGAAAAGAAGCCUGUGUUCUUGGCAACACCAGUCUGGUGUGGAGUCCACCUCCCUUUGCUGGAAUGUUUCUUUCUUUUUUUUUUUUGAAACAGAGUCUCACUCCAUCACCCAGGCUGGAGUGCAGUGGCAGGAUCUCGGCUCACUGCAACGAACCUCCGCCUCCAGGGUUCAAGCAAUUCUCCUGCCUCAGCCUCCCUAGUAGGUAGGAUUACAGGUGUGCAUCACCAUACCCAACUAAUUUUUGUAUUUUUUUUAAGUAGAGAUGGAUUUUCACCAUGUUAGCCAGGCUGGUCUCGAACUCCUGAUCUCAAGUGAUCCGCCCACCUUGGCCUCCCAAAAUGCUGGGAUUACAGGCGUGAGCCACCACAUCCAGCCUUGAACAGAUGUUUCUUCAUUUGCUGUUUGCCCUUCAGACCAUUUCCAGAAGCUUUAAUUUGUUCUCUCUUUCACUUUUAUUUUGUUGGGCCCUUUCUUUUUU
rnacentral:lncRNA from 1 species